rnacentral:lncRNA from 1 species
CUCCAGGGAGGACCUGAGUUUUUCUUCACCCAUGGUCAGGGAGGCGCCAUCGCCCUGGCUUUGGGGCUGGGGCCUCCGGGGAGGUUCCGGUAGGGGCGUUGGAGAGGCCGCUCUUUUUGCAAGGCCCGAGAUGGCGGGCCCUGCGCAGGCCGCCCUAUUCCGCGCCCUCAGGGCGUCAGUAUCCGCCUGAGGCCGGAUACCCACUCUGGGCUCGGAUACCCGCGCUGGGCCCGGAGCAUCCUCGGCGCUGCCCUCCCAGAGCCCCGCAGAGGCUGAGGUGGCGCGGGGGCGGCCCCGGCUCCGCGAGAAGAGGCGGCAGCGAGGGCUGGAGGACCCGGGCUACGGGGCUCCGGGGCGUCUGGCCUGGGUGGGACUGAGCCCAUCCAGGGACUGGGACUCCGGGGUUCUGGUGUAGGUGGAUCCCGGGCAGGCUCAGGACCAAGACCCUCUCCUUCCACCAAGGAGCGCCCAGAGGCCGGCGGGAGCUCCAGGUUCACCUCCUCCUCCUCCAGGAAAUCCCACUUCCAGCUGGAUGUCUGGAUGAACUCCUGAAAGCUGCUGAGUGUCCUGCAGCAGGUGAGCUGUGGCCAGAGCCCAAGGAUGAAGGGGACUCCCUCACUCUGUGACUGUGAAGAGGAAGCCUGAGGUGUAGCAGGCCCAGGCCCCAGAAGUAUGGAAAAAAUGAGAUGGGCAGGUGCUGGAGCAGCCCCGCUGGAAGCGAUGCAGCAUCCAGGAAGACGGAGGAAGGGGCAGAGAGGGACCUCUGCUUUCCAGGCUGCCUUUUAUACUGCCUCUGGUCACCUGACGUGGAACGUACCCUAACCUAAUCAGUUACAUGUAGGUUAAUUACAAUUAACUUAAUCCAAUUACAUGACUCGGAAAGGUCUAUCUGCACAGCCCACUCUAAGAUCAUGUCCACUGCUGACAGACAUUCUAAAACCUACGUGUACAGCUGCAAGCUUUGAAGAAUAGAUGUUCCCCGUCAGAUAUGUAACACUGGUGCCUGUACCCCUGUCUUCUUUUCCAUCUUUUUUGUUUUUGUGUUUUGU